CCUACGGGAGGCAGCAGUGAGGAAUAUUGGUCAAUGGACGAGAGUCUGAACCAGCCAAGUAGCGUGAAGGAUGACUGCCCUAUGGGUUGUAAACUUCUUUUAUAAAGGAAUAAAACGAGGCACGUGUGCCUUUGUGCAUGUACUUUAUGAAUAAGGAUCGGCUAACUCCGGGCCAGCAGACGCGGUAAUACGGAGGAUACGAGCGUUAUCCGGAUUUAUUGGGUUUAAAGGGAGCGUAGAUGGGUUGUUAAGUCAGUUGUGAAAGUUUUCGGCUCAACCGUAAAAUUUCAAUUGAUACUGGCAGUCUUGAGUACAGUUGAGGUAAGCGGAAUUCGUGGUGUAGCGGUGAAAUGCUUAGAUAUCACGAAGAACCCCGAUUGCGAAGGCAGCUUACUAAACUGUGACUGACAUUGAUGCUCGAAAGUGUGGGUAUCAAACAGGAUUAGAUACCCGUGUAGUC
rnacentral:rRNA from 1 species